CGGGUGAGUAAUGCUUAUCUACUUGCCAAUUAGUGGGGGUAAUCCCGCAUACUCUGAUUUCGGUCAGGAAAGGGCUCCGUAAGGGCCCGCUAGUUGAGAGGGAUAAGGCGUAUUAGCUAGUUGGUGGGGUAAUGGCCUACCAAGGUAAUGAUGCGUAGCCGGCCUGAGAGGGUGAACGGCCACAAGGGAACUGAGACACGGUCCCUACUCCUACGGGAGGCAGAAGGAGGAAACAUCCCGCAAUGGACGCAAGUCUAACGGAGUGAUACUACGUGAAGGAUGAAGGUCUAAGGAUUGUAAACUUCUUUACUAGUAGGUACUGCUUUUGGGCUUGCCUGCUAGCAAAAAGUCACGACUAACUAUGUGCCAGCAGUCGCGGUAAGACAUAGGUGGCGAACGUUAUCCGGAAUUAUUGGGCGUAAAGAGUGCGUAGGUGGUUUAAUAAGUUACUGGUGGGAAAUCGGGGCUCAACCCCGUGGAAGUCAGUAAUACUAUUAAACUAGAGGGUCGGAGAGGUUAACGGAAUUCUAUGUGUAGCGGUAAAAUGCUUAAAUAUAUAGAGGAACACCAAACGGCGAAGGCAGUUAACUAUUCGAUUCCUGACGUUGAGGCACGAAAGCGUGGGGAGCAAGACGGAUUAGAUACCCGAGUAGUCCACGCCCUAAACGAUGAGUACUAGAUAUUGGGAACUAGAUUCUCAGUGUCGCAAGAUAACUCGGUAAGUACUCCGCCUGGGUAGUACGGUCGCAAGACUAAAACUCAAAGGAAUUGACGGGGACUCACACAAGCAGUGGAGCAUGUGGUUUAAUCCGAUAUGACGCGUAGAACCUUACCAGGGCUUGACAUGUUCGGCAAAACUAGGGAAACCUAGCGGAGGUUAUCCGGACACAGGUGUUGCAUGGCCAUCGUCAGUUCGUGUUGUGAAAUGUAUGGUUUAGUCCUAUUAACGAACGAAACCCUUGUGCUUAGUUGCUAACAGGUAAUGCUGAGGACUCUAAGCAGACUGCCAAGGUAACUUGGAGGAAGGCGAGGAUCAAGUUUGGUCGUC
rnacentral:rRNA from 1 species